UUCUGCUGGCCUCCACGGACUUCCGUUUUUGCACUUCCGUAUUUUUCAAACUGCAGCAGCAGCGCAGCACACAACUUCGUUCGCGCUGAGUGGUCAGAAUGGCUAUUUGUACGCGUUUGCUGCUAGACCUCCCAAGAAUAAUGGUUAACGAUGUACACCGAAUCUUUCUUGCCUCGUCCGAAAUGCCAAAAUCUAGUAUGUACAAAGCUUGUAUUGUAUGCGCCCGGCUACAUACACAGCUAUGAAGGUAAGCUAACAAACUUCUGCUGUGAGUUACUAAAGAUGCUACACGCUAGCUCUCCACUAGCCUAAGUUAACACAAUAAGGAAACGUUAUUGGAGCGAUAAGUAAGGUCAUGCGUGUUUUUCGUGUCUGAAAUUAAAAAAAACAGUUUUUAUGUUAUUCUCAGUUUUAAUCAUGCAGUCAGGAGAGGUCACGGUUAGGUCCGAGUGUUUCAGGUCAAUGAGGAAAAACCAGAAGCCCCACCGUCUGAGUGUAGGGAAACGUUACCCUGCAGGUUCAGUGCAGGAUUGAUUCAGGUUCAAAAGAAGACUGUUCAUGUUUUUAAACGUCACAUUUUUGCGAGUCAUAUCAUUGCUUUUAGUUUGAUAACAGGUUAAUGACAUGCCUGAACUACGUGUGUCAUGUGGUAUCAGAGAUAAAAUGUGUCCCAGAAAGAAUAUAGUAAGUAAAGUUUGUAUAAAUAGCAUGUCACAGAAAGUCAAACAUUAGAUGACUCGCAGAAGCACAACAUUGUUUACAGUAAUUUUAUUUUUGUCCACUACUUGUUCUACUCUUCUAUUUUAAAAUGAGUUAAGUGAAGUUAAUCAUCAAUGUUUGUCUCUCCUUAAAUGCAGUUGUACUCUAACAAAUAUUCUGUGUUGUAACAGAUUGUGCUAAGGGAUUCAAAGCCGGUGGGGGUGCCAGUGUAUGUGUGGCAGGUGCAGCCUUGUGAUGUCAUGUGGCAGCUCAACUCUACCAGACGGCACAUUUCUCCUAGCUGAAACUUACAUCGGUCCCCCCCCCCCCCCCCCCCCCCCACACACACACACACACAGUGUUCAGCUGCACAGAAACUGAACAACAGUGGCACAAAACGGGGACCAAGGUAUUAAACCAGGUCCAGUUAAUGACAUGGUCAUCAUAUCAGCCAGACCAAGAGAGAGGAGACCGGUAGAAUGAACAAGAAGCAGUUUGUAAAAAGGAGUCAGCUUCCCCGAUGACAGCUUCAUUCUGAAGGUGCAGGAGGCGUACCACAGACUUGGUGCAGAUGAGGCUCCGGUGAUGACAACCAUGGCUGGCUCUGGUGAUGUACCUCUGGUUGGGUCCACGUUUGGUUCGGUGCAGGAGGGAAGCGGGCCAUCUUACCAACUACCAGUGAGGACGGCCCCCAGGACGCGU